AGAACGGAUCUGAUCUAAUCCCAAGUGUAUGCAUGUAUGCGGUAGGAUGUGGGUUGAAUUUUGUAAUAUGACUAGUACUAUUUUUUUUUACCAGAGCUAUACAUGUCGAAAAAUAUGUACCAUCCUAUUUUUAGUAUUUGACCAGUAGCCAUCGAGGUUCUCUAGGAUUCUUUUUCACCUGCAAGUUAGUUCAGUAGUCAUGCUCAGUAUGCAUGUUGUUUGAAUAAUAAUGAUGCUGCAGUUCAAUCUGCAUCUUGUCUGCAAUAUUUUUGUAGGAAUAUAAUUCAAAUUUCUAUGAAUAAUAAAUUAGUUUCAGGAUUUGGCAAGUGAAAGUGUGAAGUUGCAUUCUACUUCUGCCAUUGUUAAGUUAGAGAGCUUUGCUGGAUACAAGCAGCUGUGAGAAUGGACAACCUUGGGCUCGUGACGCAACUUUCACUAGCUAUUUUAACUUAUGGAGCUCCCAUCAGUGAGUAUAUAUGUUCCGAUCUACACUAAAAUUUCUGUGUAUAUAUGCUUAUCAGUUAUGCUCUACUGUUGUCAUUAUGUUUUGUAGGUGGUGAAACUUUGUUUAUCUGAAAGAAAACCAACUAAAUGUCCACAAUGUAAGUCGACCAACAGCCCUCAAAUUGUUUGAAAUUUUUGUUUAUUUCUAUUUCAUGGUUUUUCUGGUUCACAUACAGCCCUCAAUUGGUUUAAAUCUGAAUUAUUUCACAGCAACUAGGUGCUUCUUUUUUUCAGUUGUUCAAUCUCAGACUUAAAAAAAAUAGUCAGAUUGCUGACCCACAAGUAUAAAUGAUGGGAAAACAUAAUCAAGCAAGACAAGAUGUUUGAUGAGGUUAUCUGUAAAUUGCGGCAAGAGGAUCAAGGUGCUCAUGGUGGCUAUUUUCAUUACUCAUGAAAGAUUUUGUUGUGCGAGCAAAUCAUAUGAGUUGUUGUACAAGCCAACAUCUUAGUUUUGUUGGUACUUAGUGUAGCUUGGUUAUUCCCUUAUUAUUUCGUGUGAAAUAUUGUACAAGUACAAAUAUUGAUGGCUUCAAUGAAUAUGAUAAGCAAUAUUUUGUCAA